UCUAUCGUUUUCUAGGGUUCCGCAAUUUGUAUUGGUCUGGACCGAGAGAAAACACAUAGCAUUGCUAUGGCACGGAGGGAUAAAAGCCCGGGAGAU
rnacentral:sRNA from 2 species